rnacentral:rRNA from 1 species
UACGUAGGGUGCGAGCGUUGUCCGGAAUUACUGGUCGUAAAGAGCUCGUAGGUGGUUUGUCACGUCGUCUGUGAAAUUCCGGGGCUUAACCUCGGGCGUGCAGGCGAUACGGGCAAUACUUGAGUGCUGUAGGGGAGACUGGAAUUCCCGGUGUAGCGGUGAAAUGCGCAGAUAUCAGGAGGAACACCAAUGGCGAAGGCAGGUCUCUGGGCAGUUACUGACGCUGAGGAGCGAAAGCAUGGGUAGCGAACAGGAUUAGAUA